CCGGAUAUAGCUUCUCGCUCAAAUGCCAUCGGGACUUAGCCCGGUUAUAGUAACUCGCACAAUUGCCUUCGGGACUUAGCCCGGUUAUAGUAACUCGCACAAUUGCCUUCGGGACUUGGCCUGGUUAUAGUAACUCGCACAAAUGCCUUCGGGACUUAGCCCGGAUAUAGUAACUCGCACAAAUGCCUUCGAGCUUAGCCCGGUUAUCAAUCCGAAUAUCCAUGCACAUAUAAAUAAAUC
rnacentral:lncRNA from 1 species